rnacentral:rRNA from 1 species
CCUACGGGAGACAGCAGUGGGGAAUAUUGCACGAUGGGGGAAACCCUGAUGCAGCGACGCCGCGUGAGUGAAGAAGUAAUUCGUUAUGUAAAGCUCUAUCAGCAGGGAAGAAAAUGACGGUACCUGAGUAAGAAGCCCCGGCUAACUACGUGCCAGCGGCCGCGGUAAUACAUAGGGGGCAAGCUUUUUCCGGAUUUACUGGGUGUAAGGGGAGCGUAGACGGCAGUGCAAGUCUGGAGUGAAAGGCGGGGGCUCAACCCCCGAACUGCGCUGGAAACUGUACGGCUGGAGUGCAGGAGAGGUAAGUGGAAUGCCUAGUGUAGCGGUGAAAUGCGUAGAUAUUAGGAGGAACACCAGUGGCGAAGGCGGCUUACUGGACUGUAACUGACGUUGAGGCUCGAAAGCGUGGGGAGCAAACAGGAUUAGAUACCCUAGUAGUC